rnacentral:rRNA from 1 species
UACGUAGGUGGCGAGCGUUGUCCGGAUUUACUGGGCGUAAAGCGUGCGCAGGCGGUUUGCUAAGACCGAUGUGAAAUCCCCGGGCUUAACCUGGGAACUGCAUUGGUGACUGGCAAGCUAGAGUGUGGCAGAGGGGGGUAGAAUUCCACGUGUAGCAGUGAAAUGCGUAGAGAUGUGGAGGAAUACCGAUGGCGAAGGCAGCCCCCUGGGCUAACACUGACGCUCAUGCACGAAAGCGUGGGGAGCAAACAGG